rnacentral:tRNA from 1 species
GUGGGUUUAGUUCAAUGGUUAGAAUACAGAGUUGUGACCUCUGUGAUGGGGUUCGAAUCCCCGGCUCACCCCA